GGUUCAAUCGGUCAGAGCACCGCCCUAUCAAGGCGGAAGCUGCGGAUUCGAGCCCCGU
rnacentral:tRNA from 1 species